AUUGAACGCUGGCGGCAGGCCUAACACAUGCAAGUCGAACGAGUGGCGGACGGGUGUGUAAUGUCUGGGAAACUGCCCGAUGGAGGGGAUAACUACUGGAAACGGUAGCUAAUACCGCAUACCAUCGGAUGUGCCCAGAUGGGAUUAGCUGGUAGGUGGGGUAACGGCUCCCCUAGGCGACGAUCCCUAGCUGGUCUGAGAGGAUGACCAGCCACACUGGAACUGAGACACGGCCCAGACUCCUACGGGAGGCAGCAGUGGGGAAUAUUGCACAAUGGGCGCAAGCCUGAUGCAGCCACGCCGCGUGUUUGAAGAAGGCCUUCGGGUUGUAAAGCACUUUCAGCGGGGAGGCGUUACCCGCAGAAGAAGCACCGGCUAACUCCGUGCCAGCCGCCGCGGUAAUAC
rnacentral:rRNA from 1 species